rnacentral:rRNA from 1 species
GACGAACGCUGGCGGCGUGCUUAACACAUGCAAGUCGAACGAUGAACCCGGAGCUUGCUCCGGUGGAUUAGUGGCGAACGGGUGAGUAACACGUGAGUAACCUGCCCUUGACUCUGGGAUAACUGCGGGAAACUGUAGCUAAUACCGGAUACGACCCUCGGCGGCAUCGCCAGGGGGUGGAAAGAAUUUCGGUCAAGGAUGGACUCGCGGCCUAUCAGCUAGUUGGUGAGGUAACGGCUCACCAAGGCGACGACGGGUAGCCGGCCUGAGAGGGUGACCGGCCACACUGGGACUGAGACACGGCCCAGACUCCUACGGGAGGCAGCAGUGGGGAAUAUUGCACAAUGGGCGCAAGCCUGAUGCAGCAACGCCGCGUGAGGGAUGACGGCCUUCGGGUUGUAAGCCUCUUUUAGUAGGGAAGAAGCGAAAGUGAUGGUACCUGCAGAAAAAGCACCGGCUAACUACGUGCCAGCAGCCGCGGUAA